CCCAAACCGGUUCAGAGCGAGGAGGGUGUAUCAUCGUCUGUCCUUCAAUUUCGUUAAUUGCAUGGAAAAACUCUGAGGCUUUGUCAGGAUUGAGUGUGCAGUCUUAACAAAAUUACAAAAUCAGGUUGGAGGUCGUAGUAGGCCCUUGGCUCAAGGAGUGAUGUUUUGUAAAUAAUAAAAAAAGUAGCCUCAGCGAAACUUUUGACAAUAUUUUCAUGUUGUAUCUGUAAGUAUAAACCAUAUGAGAAACGGUUUUCCAUUUUAAACAAGUGUAGAUUCUUAAAA